UGUUCUGUGGCUCAAUUAGUUAAAGCACCCGUCUGCGAAUACGGAGUCAUGGGUUUGAAUCCCAUCAGAAUGC
rfam:Aedes albopictus isolate Foshan contig145054, whole genome shotgun sequence.